CGACCGGCGCACGGGUGCGUAACGCGUAUGCAACCUACCUGUAACAGGGGGAUAACACUGAGAAAUCGGUACUAAUACCGCAUAACACUAUGAGAGGCAUCUCUUGUGGUUGAAAGCUUCGGCGGUUACAGAUGGGCAUGCGUUGUAUUAGCUGGUUGGUAAGGUAACGGCUUACCAAGGCGACGAUACAUAGGGGGACUGAGAGGUUAACCCCCCACAUUGGUACUGAGACACGGACCAAACUCCUACGGGAGGCAGCAG
rnacentral:rRNA from 1 species